rnacentral:rRNA from 1 species
AACGAACGCUGGCGGCAUGCCUAACACAUGCAAGUCGAACGAGACCUUCGGGUCUAGUGGCGCACGGGUGCGUAACGCGUGGGAACCUGCCCUUAGGUUCGGAAUAACUCCCCGAAAGGGGUGCUAAUACCGGAUAAUGUCUUCGGACCAAAGAUUUAUCGCCUUUGGAUGGGCCCGCGUUGGAUUAGCUAGUUGGUAGGGUAAAAGCCUACCAAGGCGACGAUCCAUAGCUGGUCUGAGAGGAUGACCAGCCACACUGGGACUGAGACACGGCCCAGACUCCUACGGGAGGCAGCAGUGGGGAAUAUUGGACAAUGGGCGAAGGCCUGAUCCAGCAAUGCCGCGUGAGUGAUGAAGGCCUUAGGGUUGUAAAGCUCUUUUACCCGGGAUGAUAAUGACAGUACCGGGAGAAUAAGCUCCGGCUAACUCCGUG